rnacentral:rRNA from 1 species
AAUGAACGCUGGCGGCGUGCCUAAUACAUGCAAGUCGAGCGAACAGACGAGGAGCUUGCUCCUCUGACGUUAGCGGCGGACGGGUGAGUAACACGUGGAUAACCUACCUAUAUGACUGGGAUAACUUCGGGAAACCGGAGCUACUACCGGAUCAUAUAUUGAACCGCAUGGUUCAAUAGUGAAAGACGGUUUUGCUGUCACUUAUAGAUGGAUCCGCGCCGCAUUAGCUAGUUGGUAAGGUAACGGCUUACCAAGGCGACGAUGCGUAGCCGACCUGAGAGGGGGAUCGGCCACACUGGAACUGAGACACGGUCCAGACUCCUACGGGAGGCAGCAGUAGGGAAUCUUCCGCAAUGGGCGAAAGCCUGACGGAGCAACGCCGCGUGAGUGAUGAAGGUCUUCGGAUCGUAAAACUCUGUUAUUAGGGAAGAACAAAUGUGUAAGUAACUAUGCACGUCUUGACGGUACCUAAUCAGAAAGCCACGGCUAACUACGUG